ACGCCGCGUGAGUGAUGAAGGCUUUCGGGUCGUAAAACUCUGUUGUUAGGGAAGAACAAGUGCUAGUUGAAUAAGCUGGCACCUUGACGGUACCUAACCAGAAAGCCACGGCUAACUACGUGCCAGCAGCCGCGGUAAUACGUAGGUGGCAAGCGUUAUCCGGAAUUAUUGGGCGUAAAGCGCGCGCAGGUGGUUUCUUAAGUCUGAUGUGAAAGCCCACGGCUCAACCGUGGAGGGUCAUUGGAAACUGGGAGACUUGAGUGCAGAAGAGGAAAGUGGAAUUCCAUGUGUAGCGGUGAAAUGCGUAGAGAUAUGGAGGAACACCAGUGGCGAAGGCGACUUUCUGGUCU
rnacentral:rRNA from 1 species